AAAGGUCACGGCGAGACGAGCCGUUUAGUUUAUUAUUACGAUAGGUGUCAAGUGGAAGUGCAGUGAUGUAUGCAGCUGAGGCAUCCUAACAGACCGAACGACUUGAAC
rnacentral:rRNA from 1 species